rnacentral:rRNA from 1 species
UGGUUUAAUUCGACGCAACGCGCAGAACUUACCUGGGUUUGACAUAUAAGUUGUAGGGAACUGAAAAGGGACCGACCCUUCGGGAGCUUAUACAGGUGUUGCAUGGCUGUCGUCAGCUCGUGCCGUGAGAUGUUCGGUUAAGUCCGCUAACGAGCGCAACCCUCGCCGUAUGUUACAAGUGUCAUACGGGACUGCCGGUAAAAAGCCGGAGGAAGGUGAGGAUGAUGUCAAGUCAGCAUGACCUUUAUAUCCAGGGCUACACACACGCUACAAUGGUCUGUACAAUUGGUUGCCAAGCCGCGAGGCGGAGCCAAUCCGUAAAGCAGGCCUCAGUUCAGAUUGCAGUCUGCAACUCGACUGCAUGAAGCCGGAGUUGCUAGUAACCGCAGGUCAGCAAUACUGCGGUGAAUACGUUCCCGGGGUCUUU